rnacentral:lncRNA from 12 species
AUGUUUCUUCAAAUGACAGAGUUUGUAAUUUAUUUUUACUUUAUUUUUAUUAUUUACUAUAAUAAGCUGUAUUACUUUAUAUUUAGAAAAAUGAUAUUUCUGGAUGGGCCAGAAGUGCAAAGCAUUCAACUAUUAGAAUUAUGUUGCAAGCAAUACUAUAGAGGUUUGCCUUUCCAAUAUUGCUGUAUUUUGAUGAUCACCUUUGUACCUGAUAGCCAACAGCUCUUCACUUAUAGAUUUUUAGUGCUUGGAAGACUCUUCCUUUGACCUUUUAUAUAGAAGCAAGCUAUAGAUGUAUGGCUACACCACCCCAGGUAGGUCACUAAUGGGUGUCCCUGUGAUUUGUUCAAACCAUUAAAGUAUCUCUUUAUUAAUGGGGGGGGGGGGCAACUGCAAUAUAACACACACCCAGACAGAAUAAACUGUAUUCUGGCAGCA